UACAGAGGUCUCAAGCGUUGUUCGGAAUCACUGGGCGUAAAGGGUGUGUAGGCUGCGUGUUAAGUCAGAUGUGAAAUCCCGGGGCUCAACCUCGGAACUGCAUCCGAUACUGGCAUGCUAGAGAAUUGGAGAGGAGUCUAGAAUUCACGGUGUAGCAGUGAAAUGCGUAGAUAUCGUGAGGAAUACCAAGUGCGAAGGCAGGACUCUGGACAUUUUUCUGACGCUGAGACACGAAGGCCAGGGGGAGCAAAACGGGG
rnacentral:rRNA from 1 species